UACGGAGGAUGCGAGCGUUAUCCGGAUUUAUUGGGUUUAAAGGGUGCGUAGGCGGACGCUUAAGUCAGCGGUAAAAUUGCGGGGCUCAACCUCGUCGAGCCGUUGAAACUGGGUGCCUUGAGUGGGCGAGAAGUACGCGGAAUGCGUGGUGUAGCGGUGAAAUGCAUAGAUAUCACGCAGAACUCCGAUUGCGAAGGCAGCGUACCGGCGCCCUACUGACGCUGAAGCACGAAGGCGUGGGUAUCGAACGGG
rnacentral:rRNA from 1 species